UACGUAGGGUCCGAGCGUUGUCCGGAUUUACUGGGCGUAAAGGGCGUGCAGGCGGUCUGUUUAGUCUAGGGUGAAAGCUCCCGGCUCAACUGGGAGAGGUCCUUGGAUACUGGCAGACUUGAGGGAGGUAGAGGAGAGUGGAAUUCCCGGUGUAGUGGUGAUAUGCGUAGAUAUCGGGAGGAACACCAGUGGCGAAGGCGGCUUCCUGGACCAGCACCGACGUUCAGGCACGAAAGCGUGGGGAGCAAACAGG
rnacentral:rRNA from 1 species